GAAAGCACUUGGCAAGACCUAGCCCGGGCUCUCCUCUCCCUCGAUUCUUCUCGCGCCGCCAUCCUUGUUCUGCCUCCGAGUCUCCUCCGAGCCCCUCCUCUUCCCCGUGCCGCCGGCCUCCUCCUUUGCGUAUCUCCUCGCCGGUCGUCGCUGCAAGUCUGCGCCUCCCCACGGCCCAGACAGCAAGGCGGGCGGGCGGCGCCGCGAGGUCUCGUCCCGAGGAAGCCGCAGUAGGACGAGAACAAUCCGGACGAGGUCGAUGAGGUCGUGGGCGCCUCCUCCGCUCCGGGAUCGAACGGGCUGGUGGACAGCUGCGCGACUCUACGCCCUCCUCGACCGAGAGCCGCCGCCGUCAACAUUGUGCAGGCGCGGUUGUAGUGGCCGGACAAGAUGAAGAGAAGCUGCAGCGGCCAGCUGCAGGUGGCCUCGCCGGAAGAGAGCGCCGAUGGCCGUGGACGACACAGAGCCCUCUUCUUCGCCAGCACUAGCGGCGUCAGGGGCGGUGAAGGCCAGUAGCUCUAUCAUGGCUUGCAAGAGGAACGACAGAAAAAUCCUAUUUCAUUGAUAGUUAUAGUUGGCAGUCCAGUGAUUCCAGUUUAUUUCUCUGAUUUAAUGCAGGUAGGGCUGCAAACGAGUUGAGCUUGAGCGAGUUGGAGUUUGCUCAGCUCAACUCAUAUGAAAAUUCGAGCGAGCUCAAACUGAAUGAAGCUCAUGAUCGAGCUGUAGAACAUGACUCGUGCUUAGCUUGUAACGAUCUCGAGCUAGUUUCGAGAUAAAUGAGAUGGUAAAAAAGUUAUAAAUC